GAUGAACGCUGGCGGCGUGCCUAAUACAUGCAAGUCGAGCGAACGGACGAGAAGCUUGCUUUUCUGAUGUUAGCGGCGGACGGGUGAGUAACACGUGGAUAACCUACCUAUAAGACUGGGAUAACUUCGGGAAACCGGAGCUAAUACCGGAUAAUAUUUUGAACCGCAUGGUUCAAAAGUGAAAGUCGGUCUUGCUGUCACUUAUAGAUGGAUCCGCGCUGCAUUAGCUAGUUGGUAAGGUAACGGCUUACCAAGGCAACGAUGCAUAGCCGACCUGAGAGGGUGAUCGGCCACACUGGAACUGAGACACGGUCCAGACUCCUACGGGAGGCAGCAGUAGGGAAUCUUCCGCAAUGGGCGAAAGCCUGACGGAGCAACGCCGCGUGAGUGAUGAAGGUCUUCGGAUCGUAAAACUCUGUUAUUAGGGAAGAACAUAUGUGUAAGUAACUGUGCACAUCUUGACGGUACCUAAUCAGAAAGCCACGGCUAACUACGUG
rnacentral:rRNA from 1 species